rnacentral:rRNA from 1 species
AGACUUUGAUCAUGGCUCAGGACGAACGCUGGCGGCGUGCUUAACACAUGCAAGUCGAACGGUCUACCUCGACAGAAACCUUCGGGUUGAAGACGAGAUCUAGAUAGUGGCGGACGGGUGAGUAACACGUGAAUAAUCUAUCCUCAAGUUUGGGAUAACCUGGCGAAAGUCGGGCUAAUCCGAGGUAAGCUGAGAGUGUGGCAUCACACAAUCAGAAAAGGUGGCAUUGCCAUCGUUUGAGGAGGAGUUCGCGGUAGAUUAGCUAGCUGGUGAGGUAACGGCUCACCAGGGCAACAAUCUAUAGCUGGUCUGAGAGGACGAUCAGUCACACUGGAACUGAGACACGGUCCAGACUCCUACGGGAGGCAGCAGUGGGGAAUCUUCCACAAUGGGCGCAAGCCUGAUGGAGCAACGCCGCGUGAAUGAAGAAGGCCUUAGGGUCGUAAAGUUCUGUCCUUAGGGAGGAACCGUGGGUAUAGCAAAUGAUACCCACCUGACGGUACCCUUUGGAGGAAGCACUGGCUAACUACGUGCCAGCAGCCGCGG